UAGCUCAGUUGGUAGAGCGUCUGCCUUACAAGCAGAAUGUCGGCGGUUCGAUCCC
rnacentral:tRNA from 1 species